AUGCGCAUGAGCACUGCGUUCCGCCGCGCUCACUCCUGCCCUCGCGUGCCCAAAAACGGUACUGCAGCCAAAGGGCAUGCGCAUGCGCACUGGCUUUACCCUGCCCACUGCUGCCCUCUCCUGUCAAAAAAGCAGUACUGUAUUGUACCCGUACGGCGCACGCAUGCGCACUGGUUUUCCCGUGCUCACUGCUGCCCUCGGGUGUCGACACGCCCGUACUGCAGCCACCACUGCCCUCCCCCGCGUACAAAGAAUACUGCAGCCAGCCAGCCGGCGCGCACAUGCGCGGUGCCGGUCACCGUGUUGCUGCUCUCCGCCGUUUCGGUAACGGGUAAGCUAAUGGGCCGUGCUCAUCGCCCCUUCGCGGUGCUCAUGGAGCGGUGGCGCAGAGCGCUCCUCCUUAUCGGUGCUUCCUGGUGCUGCGGGGACGGGCAGUGCCGUCUCGGAGCUGCUCCGCGGUGCUCUUUCACCGGGGCAGCACCGGAGCCUGCUCGCUGAUCCCCGCCGCUCUCUCGGCCACGGGCAGCCUCAGGGCGCUCGGUGGGAGCCCCGGGCUGCCGCGGCGAGCUGCGGUUCGCACACGUGAGCCGCCUGGCUGCAGCGCCGCGCCGCGAGCACGCGAGGGCGCCAUUGCGGGUCUCGCCUCCCUUCGUGCUCCCUCGGCUCCCCCCGCCCCUCGGGCUCCUCCCCUCGCUCCCCCCGCGCCUCGGGCUCCUCCCGCUCGGUCCGAGCCGGCGCAUGCACGGCGGCGGGGAGCAAGAUGGCGAGCAGCGAGGUUGUUUUGGCUGGGCGGCGGCAGGUGAGGGCGGAGGCCGCCUGGAGUGAAGGAUAUGGGGCCCCUGGUGAGGCGAACGCGUAGGUUCGGGAGGCGUCGGGCAUCGGGCUGUGUCCUGCCCGCUGCGGCCGUCGCUGCGUGGAGGCGGCGGUGCGGGGUGAGUGUGUGUGUGGGGGGAGCGGGCUGGGGCCUGGUGCCACGCCGGGAGCACAGGGCAAGGUGUGCUGGAGCGCGGGUGUGACUUUGCGUUUUGCGUGUGUGGUGUUUAGGGCACCGAUUCGUUGGCAGCGCAGGCCGGGGCACGUGCUCGUCCCUGCGGAGGCGGCGUGGCGGAGCAGGGGGGCAGGCGGGCCCUGGAGCAGGGUUGCGGCGCGGCGUCGGCGGGAGGAUGGCUCCUGUGGCGGCAGGCUUGGCCGAGAGUGCUGGUAAGUGCUGAGGAGGUUUAAAAGCUCUGGAGCGAGCAGGCUGAAGGUGAAUUUGAGUGAGGGACGAUUAGUGCAGCCCCAAGUUAUUUUCUUGAGAAUUGUGACUAGGCAAGCAAGAAGAUGGGCAGAAGAAAGACCCUCCCAGACACCCGGAGGCCCCCCCCCCACCGCCAGGCACAGAGUGUGGGCGCCAGCCAMCGCGGGCACCAACUGAUCGAAAGCCCUGCUGAGCCGCGCCGAGCCCUGCUCCUUGCUGUACAGCUGCCCCAAAGCCAUGGGGUUGCCCAGUGCAGCACGU
rnacentral:lncRNA from 1 species